rnacentral:rRNA from 1 species
GGGAUAACUAGUCGAAAGAUUAGCUAAUACCGCAUACGACCUGAGGGUGAAAGUGGGGGACCGCAAGGCCUCAUGCUAUAGGAGCGGCCGAUGUCUGAUUAGCUAGUUGGUGAGGUAAAGGCUCACCAAGGCGACGAUCAGUAGCUGGUCUGAGAGGACGAUCAGCCACACUGGGACUGAGACACGGCCCAGACUCCUACGGGAGGCAGCAGUGGGGAAUUUUGGACAAUGGGCGAAAGCCUGAUCCAGCAAUGCCGCGUGUGUGAAGAAGGCCUUCGGGUUGUAAAGCACUUUUGUCCGGAAAGAAAUGGCUCUGGUUACUACCUGGGGUCGAUGACGGUACCGGAAGAAUAAGGACCGGCUAACUACGUGCCAGCAGCCGCGGUAAUACGUAGGGUCCAAGCGUUAAUCGGAAUUACUGGGCGUAAAGCGUGCGCAGGCGGUUGUGCAAGACCGAUGUGAAAUCCCCGAGCUUAACUUGGGAAUUGCAUUGGUGACUGCACGGCUAGAGUGUGUCAGAGGGGGGUAGAAUUCCACGUGUAGCAGUGAAAUGCGUAGAGAUGUGGAGGAAUACCGAUGGCGAAGGCAGCCCCCUGGGAUAACACUGACGCUCAUGCACGAAAGCGUG